rnacentral:snoRNA from 1 species
AAGACUAUACUUUCAGGGAUCAUUUCUAUAGUUUGUGAAAUUAGCUGUCUUAGUUUACAGAUAAGUAAUAUAGAAAUAAGUUGAAUUAUU